rfam:Ictidomys tridecemlineatus contig004967, whole genome shotgun sequence.
UGGGUUGUGGCUCAGCGGUACAGCGCUCGCCUUGCAUAUGAGAGACCCUGGGUUCGAUCCUCAGCACCACAU